AGAGACCGGCGCACGGGUGCGUAACGCGUAUGCAAUCUACCUUUUGCAGAGGGAUAGCCCAGAGAAAUUUGGAUUAAUACCUCAUAGUAUGUGAGAAUGGCAUCAUUUUCACAUUAAAGUCACAACGGCAAAAGAUGAGCAUGCGUCCCAUUAGCUAGAUGGUAAGGUAACGGCUUACCAUGGCGACGAUGGGUAGGGGUCCUGAGAGGGAGAUCCCCCACACUGGUACUGAGACACGGACCAGACUCCUACGGGAGGCAGCAGUGAGGAAUAUUGGACAAUGGGCGCAAGCCUGAUCCAGCCAUGCCGCGUGCAGGAUGACGGUCCUAUGGAUUGUAAACUGCUUUUGUACAGGAAGAAACACUCCCUCGUGAGGGAGCUUGACGGUACUGUAAGAAUAAGGAUCGGCUAACUCCGUGCCAGCAGCCGCGGUAAUACGGAGGAUCCAAGCGUUAUCCGGAAUCAUUGGGUUUAAAGGGUCCGUAGGCGGUUUAGUAAGUCAGUGGUGAAAGCCCAUCGCUCAACGGUGGAACGGCCAUUGAUACUGCUAGACUUGAAUUAUUAGGAAGUAACUAGAAUAUGUAGUGUAGCGGUGAAAUGCUUAGAGAUUACAUGGAAUACCAAUUGCGAAGGCAGGUUACUACUAAUGGAUUGACGCUGAUGGACGAAAGCGUGGGUAGCGAACAGGAUUAGAUACCCUGGUAGUCCACGCCGUAAACGAUGGAUACUAGCUGUUGGGCGCAAGUUCAGU
rnacentral:rRNA from 1 species